GACGAACGCUGGCGGCGUGCCUAAUACAUGCAAGUUGAGCGAUGAAGAUUGGUGCUUGCACCAAUUUGAAGAGCAGCGAACGGGUGAGUAACGCGUGGGGAAUCUGCCUUUGAGCGGGGGACAACAUUUGGAAACGAAUGCUAAUACCGCAUAACAACUUUAAACAUAAGUUUUAAGUUUGAAAGAUGCAAUUGCAUCACUCAAAGAUGAUCCCGCGUUGUAUUAGCUAGUUGGUGAGGUAAAGGCUCACCAAGGCGAUGAUACAUAGCCGACCUGAGAGGGUGAUAGGCACCAUUGGGACUGAGACACGGCCAAAACUCCUACGGGAGGCAGCAGUAGGGAAUCUUCGGCAAUGGACGAAAGUCUGACCGAGCAACGCCGCGUGAGUGAAGAAGGUUUUCGGAUCGUAAAACUCUGUUGGUAGAGAAGAACGUUGGUGAGAGUGGAAAGCUCAUCAAGUGACGGUAACUACCCAGAAAGGGACGGCUAACUACGUG
rnacentral:rRNA from 1 species